CCUACGGGAGGCAGCAGUGGGGAAUAUUGCACAAUGGGGGAAACCCUGAUGCAGCAACGCCGCGUGAGUGAAGACGUAUUUCGGUAUGUAAAGCUCUAUCAGCAGGGCAGAAGAUGACGGUACCUGAAUAAGAAUCCCCGGGUAACUACGUGCCAGCAGCCGCGGUAAUACGUAGGGCGCCAGCGUUAUCCGGAUUUACUGGGGGUUAAGGGGGCGCAGACGGGAGUGCAAGGCUGGAGUGAAAGCCGCGGGCCCAACCCCGGAACUGCUGUGGAAACUGGUGGCCGGGAGUGCUGGAGGGGCAUGCGGAAUGCGUAGUGUAGCGGUGAAAUGCGUAGAUAUCAGGAAGAACACCAGUGGCGAAGGCGGCCUGCCGGACAGUAACUGACGUUGAGGCACGAAAGCGUGGGGAGCAAACAGGAUUAGAUACCCCAGUAGUC
rnacentral:rRNA from 1 species